CCGGCGAGGGCGGGGCCGUCGCUCUGUGGACCCGGGACUCUCUCAAGGAAAAGCUCCGGUGGGGAGGACACAGCCCAGAGUGUCCUCCGGCUUCACCGUACAGAGGCCAAACCGUGCCGCUUCCCACUUUCUCCAAAACUUAGGGAUGGUGAGGGAAGUUAGAACAGUGGUUUCCGCUGAGGCAUGCGGGCAUGUUCUAUGCGAAGGAGCGCGAGGAAUCCCAGCUCUCUCUUCUAGACCUUGUUCACUGCUGUUGUCCUGGUGUUACUUUCUUCUCGCAUCUUAGGAGGAAGAGCAUCUCCAAGAUGUAAGCCACAUUCUGUGACCCACCUAUUUCCUGUUCUUUGAAUGGUGGCUUUUGAGAACAGUGCCUAAGGGCUUAUAGUUCCCGGGGCAAUCUUAUGAAGAGCAAGCAGAUUUUGCAAUAUCUUAGCUCAGUUUGCGGUAGCCUUAAUUCUUGAAGCU
ensembl:lncRNA